CCCACCCAAACUGGGCACUGUUCAUGCUCCAGAACUGCUGUUCAGGAACAUUACAGUGGCUCCAGGCUGUGUUCCGCUGAAGCCAAUUAGAAGCUUCCAAAUCAAUCCUUCCUUCCCCUCCUGGUGUUUGUGUGGGAAAUGGAAUUGGUGUUUCAGCUGUGUGGUGCCAGCUGGCAGGGCAGAGCCCCUGCAGUGACUGGAAGUGCCUGGUGUCAGACUACUGGUCUCAUGUCAGCUCCGGGGUUUGUGUGACACAGCAUCCUCCAUAGUUGUGAUGGACUGAAAUGUCGGUAAUGUCUUAAACAUUGUCAAAAUCACAGAAAGACUUUUUGUCAAACUACAAGGAAGCAACUGCCUGUCUGGGACCACCGAAGCCCGACUGGAAUUUGGACUGUGACUGGGGACUUGAGAUAAGGCUACUGUCUAAUCAUCUCACGUCUGAGGAGAAGUAAACAAGGCUCAGGAAAGAAGAAUUUAUGUGUGUUAAGAAUCAGCCCUGGCUGGGCUCAGGGGGUAGUGGAGGAGAAAGGUUUUGGGUGUGUGAUGGUGAAAUCUCUCCACACCAAACCGAAGGAGUAACACCCUGACCCCCGGAAAGACCACGUACACACAGGACAUUCACGUGAGAGGCAGCUGAGAAGGGUCAUAAACCACCAAAGACCCCCAAAGCGCCCCCAGACUCAUUCCUGAGGCCUUCCACUACCAGAGCACUGCACCUGAUCCAACUGAUCCAACAAAUCCAGAGUCUGUUACAAGAGACUGCAAAGCUUCCCCCCUCCGCUCCAUGGGAGGUACCUGGGCAUCUCCUGAAUGUAUAUUAAUCCAUUGGACUCUAUGUUUUUUAGGAAACCCUCCCCACCAAGAAGACCAGAAGAACCUGACCGACGGGAUGCAGCCAGGUGACAUGGAGCGGUGAUACUUUUUCUAUUUUAAUCUCUCUCUGUCACACUCUUUUUUCUAUUCCC